rnacentral:rRNA from 1 species
GUUGAACGCUGGCGGCAUGCCUUACACAUGCAAGUCGAACGGUAACGCGGGGCAACCUGGCGACGAGUGGCGAACGGGUGAGUAAUGCAUCGGAACGUGCCCAGUAGUGGGGGAUAGCUCGGCGAAAGCCGGAUUAAUACCGCAUACGACCUACGGGUGAAAGCGGGGGACCGCAAGGCCUCGCGCUAUUGGAGCGGCCGAUGUCAGAUUAGGUUGUUGGUGAGGUAAAGGCUCACCAAGCCGACGAUCUGUAGCUGGUCUGAGAGGACGACCAGCCACACUGGGACUGAGACACGGCCCAGACUCCUACGGGAGGCAGCAGUGGGGAAUUUUGGACAAUGGGGGCAACCCUGAUCCAGCCAUGCCGCGUGCGGGAAGAAGGCCCUCGGGUUGUAAACCGCUUUUGUCAGGGAAGAAAAGCUUCGAGCUAAUACCUCGAGGUAAUGACGGUACCUGAAGAAUAAGCACCGGCUAACUACGUGCCAGCCGCCGCGGUAAUAC